ACGAACGCUGGCGGCGUACUUAACACAUGCAAGUCGAACGGAAAGGCCCUGCUUUUGUGGGGUGCUCGAGUGGCGAACGGGUGAGUAACACGUGAGUAACCUGCCCUUGACUUUGGGAUAACUUCAGGAAACUGGGGCUAAUACCGGAUAGGAGCUCCUGCUGCAUGGUGGGGGUUGGAAAGUUUCGGCGGUUGGGGAUGGACUCGCGGCUUAUCAGCUUGUUGGUGGGGUAGUGGCUUACCAAGGCUUUGACGGGUAGCCGGCCUGAGAGGGUGACCGGCCACAUUGGGACUGAGAUACGGCCCAGACUCCUACGGGAGGCAGCAGUGGGGAAUAUUGCACAAUGGGCGGAAGCCUGAUGCAGCAACGCCGCGUGCGGGAUGACGGCCUUCGGGUUGUAAACCGCUUUCGCCUGUGACGAAGCGUGAGUGACGGUAAUGGGUAAAGAAGCACCGGCUAACUACGUG
rnacentral:rRNA from 1 species